rnacentral:lncRNA from 1 species
CAGAGAAGGAAAUAGAGGAAAUUCACAGUAAAUAUCGAAAAAAGCACCAGAAUGAAUUCCAGCUUCUGGUGGAUCAGGCCAAAAAAGGAUACAAGAAAACUGGCAGAAUGUCAAAAGCUGCAGUAAUGAGGAAAGAUGAACCUGCAGAGACACUGCCAUCUGAACGUAUGGAAAUGAUCAAAACAAAGAAGUAAGCCCACAACAGAAUCGUCGCACUAGAGCCACUGAACGUGCUGAGAUUGAACCAAGAAACAAGCGGAAUAAGAAUUAGUAUGGCCUUUUGCCAGUUUUUCUGAACGGUGACCUGAGUAUGAUAUUUUUAUUGCCAUGUGUGGUUUCAUAUUUAGCAAUAUCCAAGGAAGAUUUUUUUAAGUCUAAAUGCAAUAGUUAAUUUAUUUUCAUUCUUCUUUGCCUUCCUGAACAACAGCAACAACAACAAA